AUGGCUGAAUGGUUAAAGCGCCCAACUCAUAAUUGGCGAAGUCGUAGGAUAACUAGGACAAAAAGAAAACAUUGGGUCGAACUCUUCUUUGGUGUCAAGGUAAGAACUAUGAAUCAACUCGCAAUCCCAAUAAAGGGUAGAAGAAUACGACCUAUUAUGGGACAUACAAGGCAUUACAAACGUAUGAUCAUUACGCUUCAACCGGGUUAUUCUAUUCCACCUCUUAGAAAGAAAAUAACUUAA